rnacentral:tRNA from 1 species
GAAGAAUAAAAACUCAUCUUCGAAAUGAGAAAAAAAAAUUCUUUC